rnacentral:rRNA from 1 species
GAUGAACGCUAGCGGCAGGCCUAACACAUGCAAGUCGAGGGGUAGAACACUUCGGUGUUUGAGACCGGCGCACGGGUGCGUAACGCGUAUGCAAUCUACCUUGUACAGGGGAAUAGCCCAGAGAAAUUUGGAUUAAUGCCCCAUAGUAUAUAACCUUCGCAUGUUGGUUAUAUUAAAGUUCCAACGGUACAAGAUGAGCAUGCGUCCCUUUAGUUAGUUGGUAAGGUAACGGCUUACCAAGACGAUGAUGGGUAGGGGUCCUGAGAGGGAGAUCCCCCAAACUGGUACUGAGACACGGACCAGACUCCUACGGGAGGCAGCAGUGAGGAAUAUUGGUCAAUGGGCGCAAGCUUGAACCAGCCAUGCCGCGUGCAGGAAGACGGUCCUAUGGAUUGUAAACUGCUUUUAUACAGGAAGAAACAACGCUACGUGUAGAGUCUUGACGGUACUGUAGGAAUAAGGAUCGGCUAACUCCGUGCCAGCCGCCGCCGUAAGAC